GACGAACGCUGGCGGCGUGCCUAAUACAUGCAAGUCGAGCGAGUUUUUGGGAGCUUGCUCCCAAAAAUUAGCGGCGGACGGGUGAGUAACACGUGGGCAACCUGCCUGUAAGACUGGGAUAACUUCGGGAAACCGGAGCUAAUACCAGAUAAUUCUUAUCAACUCAUGUUGAUAAGCUGAAAGACGGUUUCGGCUGUCACUUACAGAUGGGCCCGCGGCGCAUUAGCUAGUUGGGGAGGUAACGGCUCACCAAGGCAACGAUGCGUAGCCGACCCGGGAGGGUGAGCGGCCACACUGGGACUGGGACACGGCCCAGACUCCUACGGGGGGCAGCAGUAGGGAAUCUUCCGCAAUGGACGAAAGUCUGACGGAGCAACGCCGCGUGAGUGAUGAAGGUUUUCGGAUCAUAAAACUCUGUUGUUAGGGAAGAACAAGUACGAGAGUAACUGCUCGUACCUUGACGGUACCUAACCAGAAAGCCACGGCUAACUACGUGCCAGCCGCCGCGGUAAGAC
rnacentral:rRNA from 1 species